GACGAACGCUGGCGGCGUGCUUAACACAUGCAAGUCGAACGGAAAGGCCCUGCUCUUGUGGGGUGCUCGAGUGGCGAACGGGUGAGUAAAACGUGAGUAACCUGCCCUUGUCUUUGGGAUAACUUCAGGAAACUGGGGCUAAUACCGGAUAGGAGCUCCUGCUGCAUGGUGGGGGUUGGAAAGUUUCGGCGGUUGGGGAUGGACUCGCGGCUUAUCAGCUUGUUGGUGGGGUAGUGGCUUACCAAGGCUUUGACGGGUAGCCGGCCUGAGAGGGUGACCGGCCACAUUGUGACUGAGAUACGGACCAGACUCCUACGGGAGGCAGCAGUGGGGAAUAUUGCACAAUGGGCGGAAGCCUGAUGCAGCAACGCCGCGUGCGGGAUGACGGCCUUCGGGGUGUAAACCGCUUUCGCCUGUGACGAAGCGUGAGUGACGGUAAUGGGUAAAGAAGCACCGGCUAACUACGUG
rnacentral:rRNA from 1 species